AGGCCCUUUCCUGUCAGGCUCAGCAGGAGGUUGCAUACUAAUGCUCUACCUGCCUGUUAGAAGUGCAGACAGCUGACCUGAGAACAGAAGGUAGAGAACACGUGUCACGCCAUAGGUAUCAGAGUCCACUGGCCCAGCACUUCAGCAAGCCUCACAUCAUGACGGGGAGCAGGCUGCACAUGAGAAAACCAGCAAACCAGAUCGUUGUGAUCAGUGUGUCUCCUCAUCAAACAAAAUCCUCUCAAAUCUGCACAGAUAUGCAGGUGACAUUUCCACCUGGAUGACAGCACAUAAUCAGCAAGAUGAAGAUGCUCUUCAUCCGAGGGAAAGCCUGCCCAUUCUCAGAUGUUAGAUCAUCCGAGGUGAUCACAUGUCAUUUACAUUCCAGCCCUGGUCAGCUCCAGAUUUGACUACUUCAACUCACACCCUGCUGGAAUCCCUGCAUUCUCAGAUUCCCCUCUGUUAUUAAUCUCUAUUUGUAAUCAAUAAAGUGUUUCAAAAUGCUGUACUUAAAUUAACAUAUGUUCCAAUCAUUCCUGAGAGAGAAGGGGUGUAAUUUCUCCAGAUGGGUGUGUGGUACCUUCCUCAUCCAUGCCAACAAGAUGUUACUUCUUGUGGGGUCAUUGCCUUGAAAGUAAGUAUGAGAGUAUAAGUAAUGUACAAUUAACCUACUGAAAGUAUACUGACUAAAAGGCAAAACAGAACUGUGAAAUUGUAUUAUAGCUGUGUCGUUGUAUACUUGCGAAUUAGAAUCUUAAAGUGUAACAUCAUUUUGUUGGAGAAAUGCCCAUCAAUAUUUUUCCCAGUUUGCUGAAUGUGUUCUGAAGGAGGAGUCGAUUGUCUUUUCAAAUAUGGACAAAGAUGUUAACAUCAUGAGAGAAGAAAUAGCAGUUACUCUCCUCAAAAAACACUGGUAUGUUACAUUUCUAAUUCAAUAUAAUUGUAGAUUAAAAAAACAUGUACAGUGGGGCAAAAAAGUAUUUAGUCAGCCAUCAAUUGUGCAAGUUCUCCCACUUAAAA